rnacentral:tRNA from 1 species
GCGAGGGUGGCGGAACAGGCAGACGCAGCAGACUUAAAAUCUGCCGGCCGUAAGGUCGUACCGGUUCGAUUCCGGUCCUUCGCACCA